rnacentral:lncRNA from 1 species
ACAGUAUACUCAUAAAUGCGUUUUUACUUUCAAGAAAUCAAUUCAGUACUAAAAAUAAAAUAAUUAAAAAUUUGAGAUUCUAGCAUUAAUAGAAAUUCAAAAUUGUAAUUGGGUUUGUAAUAGAGAUUUCAAGUGAGAUUCAUUAAGUCAGUGAUAAGAAUAAAAAAAAGAUUCUAUUAAUUGUUUGUAAAAAAGCAAAUAUCACACCAUCUACACUUUUUAUCACAUGAUCUGAGAACAAAACAAAUCACAUGAUCUGAGACCAAAGCACAUCACAUGAUCUGUGAAAAAAAACACAUCACAUGAUUGAUCUGAGACCAAAACACAUCACAUGAUCUGAGAACAAAGCACAUCACAUGAUCUUAGUAAAAAAACACAUCACAUGAUCUACGAUUCUAACAUACCUCACAUGAUGUGUACAAAAACAUGUCAUAUGAUCUAUGAUUCUAACACAUUAAUAUCACAUGAUUUGUGUAAUUCCAUGACAUGAUAUGAGAUUUCUGUAGUGAACCACAUGGUAGUUUGAUUGACAAACCACAAACAUGACAAUGGACGAUUGUUACAUCACUCGUUGGUCUAAUUAUAGAUCUGUU